AUUGAACGCUGGCGGCAGGCCUAACACAUGCAAGUCGAGCGGAUGAAGGGAGCUUGCUCCUGGAUUCAGCGGCGGACGGGUGAGUAAUGCCUAGGAAUCUGCCUGGUAGUGGGGGAUAACGUCCGGAAACGGGCGCUAAUACCGCAUACGUCCUUAGGGAGAAAGUGGUGGAUCUUCGGACCUCACGCUAUCAGAUGAGCCUAGGUCGGAUUAGCUAGUUGGUGGGGUAAAGGCCUACCAAGGCGACGAUCCGUAACUGGUCUGAGAGGAUGAUCAGUCACACUGGAACUGAGACACGGUCCAGACUCCUACGGGAGGCAGCAGUGGGGAAUAUUGGACAAUGGGCGAAAGCCUGAUCCAGCCAUGCCGCGUGUGUGAAGAAGGUCUUCGGAUUGUAAAGCACUUUAAGUUGGGAGGAAGGGAAGUAAGUGAAUACCUUGAUGUUUUGACGUUACCAACAGAAUAAGCACCGGCUAACUUCGUG
rnacentral:rRNA from 1 species